GAAGUCUCUCAGCCCCACUCACCUCACAGAGUGUUUGUUGUGGGGGAGGAAGGGAAAGGAGAAUGUUGGCUGCUUUGAGACUCCUUAGGGUAGUGAUAAAGCAGGAUAUCAAAUCCAUUCUCCUUUCCCUUCCCUUCCUCCCCCACAACAAACACUCUGUGAGGUGAGUGGGGCUGAGAGACUUC